UACGUAGGGUGCAAGCGUUAAUCGGAAUUACUGGGCGUAAAGCGUGCGCAGGUGGUUGUGCAAGACAGGUGUGAAAUCCCCGGGCUUAACCUGGGAACUGCACUUGUGACUGCACGGCUGGAGUACGGCAGAGGGGGAUGGAAUUCCGCGUGUAGCAGUGAAAUGCGUAGAUAUGCGGAGGAACACCGAUGGCGAAGGCAGUCCCCUGGGCCUGUACUGACGCUCAUGCACGAAAGCGUGGGGAGCAAUCAGG
rnacentral:rRNA from 1 species